GCAGGAGGCUAUAUCCACUCCGAAGCCAGCGACUAAUCUGAUUAAUGACAGGCCGGAGCCAGUACCUGAGCAGCCGGACAAUGAGAAGGAGAGUACUCACCUGCGUUAGCAAUGGAUGGCUGGUGAUAGCAUUGAAGAGUGACUAGCAUGCCAUUUUUCUUCUCUUUUUUGAUGUACGGCUGCAUGGAAAUGAAUGCAGUGCUUUUCACACCGAAGCAUCAGAGUCAGGACACCAGAAUGCUGGUGUGGAACCACAGCUUCAAGCAUGUACCCAGUUAAUGCCUUAAAGGUGAGAAAAACAUAAAAAUAAAAAUAAAACACCACUUUUACAUCCAGUUCUUAAGCAUAAAUCUGCUGCUGC